GAUUAAGAACGUAGCGAAAUGCGAUACGUAAUGUGAAUUGCAGAAUUCAGUGAAUCAUCGAAUCUUUGAACGCAUAUUGCGCUCUCUGGUAUUACGGAGAGCAUGCUUGUUUGAGUAUCAGUAAACACCUCAACUCCCUUUUCUUUUUUGAAAUUGGAGCUGGACUUGAGUGAUCCCAACGCUUUCUUCCAAGAAAGUGGCGGGUUGCUUGAAAUGCAGGUGCAGCUGAACUUUUCUCUGAGCUAUAAGCAUAUCUAUUUAGUCUGCCUAAAAAACAGAUUAUUACCUUUGCUGCAGCUAACAUAAAGGAGACUAGUUCUUGUGCUGACUGAUGCAGGAUUCACAGAGACAGCUUCGGCUGACUUUGUAAACUCGAUCUCAAAUCAAGUAAGACUACCCGCUGAACUUAAGCAUAUCAAUAAGCGGAGGA
rnacentral:misc_RNA from 1 species